GUGCCCGUGGCUCAAUUGGAUAGAGCAUCUGACUACGGAUCAGAAGGUUAGGGGUUCGAGUCCCUUCGGGCACGCCA
rnacentral:tRNA from 1 species